CGUAUCAACUUAAUAUUUGCAGAAGGAAAAUCAGCGUAUUUAUUAAAACGAGUCACUUUUUAUCAUCUGACUUUGAAGCAUAUCCCCAAUGGAGUCCUGCCACAUUAAAAAGAAGAAUUUUUAAAGAAAACAUCUAUACCAUCGCAAUAUCUCAAAACAGGGGCAAUAAAAAUUCCUAGGACAACCGCUUAAUCCACGGCUGAAAACAGAAGAAAACAUUCAAAUGUAAGGCUAGAAGCAGUGAACUCUACAUCAACCAAGACAAUAUCGGAUCUAAAAUUGAAGUAGAUAAAAAAUAUAUACCAACAGGGAUUAACGUUAGUUGGCUUGAUGAAGAGUGAAAGUCUAUUUACAUUACAAAAAAUGCUAUAGGCUUUCCAAGUAUUGGUUGUUGUUUGAUUGUCAAACAGGAUUUAAAAUUUAAGAUAUGGGGAGCGACACAA
rnacentral:lncRNA from 1 species